rnacentral:rRNA from 1 species
GUCUACGGCCAUGCCACCCUGAACAAGCCCAAUCCUGUCUGAUCUUGGAAGCUAAACAGGGUUGGGUCUGGUUAGUACUUGGAUGGGAAACCACCUAGGAAGACCAGGUGCUGCGGGCA